rnacentral:rRNA from 1 species
UACGUAGGGUGCAAGCGUUGUCCGGAAUUAUUAGGCGUAAAGAGCUCGUAGGCGGUCUGUCGCGUCGGCUGUGAAAUCCCGAGGCUCAACCUCGGGUCUGCAGUCGAUACGGGCAAACUAGAGUAUUGCAGGGGAGACUGGAAUUCCUGGUGUAGCGGUGAAAUGCGCAGAUAUCAGGAGGAACACCGGUGGCGAAGGCGGGUCUCUGGGCAAUAACUGACGCUGAGGAGCGAAAGCGUGGGGAGCGAACAGG